rnacentral:lncRNA from 1 species
GCCUAAAACCGGCCAUGCUCUGGGGUCACCAGAAAUGUGUGAUAUCAAAAUGUGGUUACAACCUAAUAAAGGUUGAGAACCAUUGCUUUAUCCACACUAGACAAAAACAGUAAUAUUCCUUUAAAAAAAAAGAGCAUUAUUUAAAUACACGUUUUCCAUGGCAACCGUGUCAUCUCUCACCCUAUAUAAGCGGUUAGAAAGAAAACUUAACUGUUUUCCAACAGUUGUGUCUGCAGUUCACUGUUCGGUCUACAAGGAAAACUCUCUCAGAAAUCGCCAGCGACCAUUUCUGAACAUUAUCAGCCAGAAUAUAACAUAUCAACAACCCCCGCUCUCAAAAUGAAGAUACCAUUGAACAUGCUGAUGGAUCCUGUGGUCCAGGAGGAGGAGGAGUUGAAGCACCUCCUUCCUGAGAUUACAGAUGUUGUGGAGCAGUAUCCAGAGGUUGCAGGACUGGUGCACUGGGCGACUUACCCUGUGAUGUCGUCUCCUCAUGUUUGUAAAUGUCCUCCUCCACCGUUAACAGACCUCCAAUUUUACAGCACUCCUUUCUUUCCACCUGAAAUCUUUCCAUCUUUUGAAGAACGAGAUGAGUUGGAUGAGUUAUUGGCUGUCAUGCCACCAGAGGCCCUGGAACCCAUCCCAGUUCCAAAGUGAGUGUCCUUGAGUUGUUUUAAUUGUUUUUUUUUCUGAAUAACUCUAGAUCAGAGUGUCUCCCUGCUCUCUCUCUCUACUACUCUCAGCUACUGUUUCCCUGCCCUGCUCACUGUUUGUGUUUUGUUCCUCAGAAAAAGGAAGCUUGAGAAGGAUAAGGGCCCAUAUGUUAAGAAACCUCCCAACGCAUUCAUGCUUUUCUUAAAAAGUGAGAGGAAGACGGUCCAGGAAGAGCUCGGCAUUAAGAACAGUGCCGCCAUCAACAAAGUUCUUUCUGAACGCGUAAGUUUGUUGAUUCCUCAAUAAAUGAUCUGUGAUCUUCA